rnacentral:tRNA from 1 species
GGGUAUAGCUCAAUGGUAGAGUGUGUGCUCAGCAUGCACAAGGUGCUGGGUUCAAUCCCAUUACCUCCA